UUCUUUAAAUACCAGACUUCAUGCAGAAGUUUCACACGGUGCUGUGCUUCUAGUAAACAGAAUUGCUUUUAUGCAUGCUGCAGUCUGGAGGUGGCAAGUGCCAGUGUACGGAUGCAUUUAUGAAGGCAAGUGUUGGGUCUUAUUGGCGCCGCACAAGAAACCAACGUGUGAUACCCAGACAUUCACUGUUAGAAACAGGAAAAAGCUAUGGGCCCUUGCUUCAGAUUCUGCAAAAGAUGUACCAAGGCUGAGGAAAAUGGCAAAAAGGGAAGAAAUGCCAUAGCAUAACUUUGGGAUGGCAGAUUGUACACAAAUGGGAGGCCUGAGCAGGCUGCUUUUAGCAGGGGAACGUGACCUGACUGCACAGGAGGCAAGGAACUCCCUUCUCUCGCUGACCAUGAGCCCUCAGUUUCAAGGCAGAUCUGAAGAGGAAUAUUUGACCCGUGGGAAUUGCAACUUCAGAUACGUAACUCAGGUGGGACCGCCGUGUGUGCCCUGUGAUAGGAGCCGUGUAUCCCAACCGUGAACGUAGAGGUUGGGCCCGG